GAGUGUGAUCAUACCAUAGUUAAUGCACUAGAUCCCAUCAGAACCCCACAGUUAAGUGUGCUUAGUAUAGAGUAGUACUGGGAUGGGUGACCUCCCAGGAAGUCCUAGUGUUUCACCCU
rnacentral:rRNA from 1 species